rnacentral:rRNA from 1 species
GAUGAACGCUGGCGGCGUGCCUAAUACAUGCAAGUCGAGCGAACGGACGAGAAGCUUGCUUCUCUGAUGUUAGCGGCGGACGGGGGAGUAACACGUGGAUAACCUACCUAUAAGACUGGGAUAACUUCGGGAAACCGGAGCUAAUACCGGAUAAUAUUUUGAACCGCAUGGUUCAAAAGUGAAAGACGGUCUUGCUGUCACUUAUAGAUGGAUCCGCGCUGCAUUAGCUAGUUGGUAAGGUAACGGCUUACCAAGGCAACGAUGCAUAGCCGACCUGAGAGGGUGAUCGGCCACACUGGAACUGAGACACGGUCCAGACUCCUACGGGAGGCAGCAGUAGGGAAUCUUCCGCAAAGGGCGAAAGCCUGACGGAGCAACGCCGCGUGAGUGAUGAAGGUCUUCGGAUCGUAAAACUCUGUUAUUAGGGAAGAACAUAUGUGUAAGUAACUGUGCACAUCUUGACGGUACCUAAUCAGAAAGCCACGGCUAACUACGUG